ensembl:misc_RNA
UUUUCUCCCCGGAGACUGCGGUUAUCUGUUUUCUCACAGAUCCAGUACAGCAUGGGCAUCAGCUGUGUAUGCUUUCCCACAAUACCCUGUUAAUGUGCCUUGAACCUGGUGUGAAGGGAGCAUUUGUAGUGAUAAAAGAGUAGCUCACUCGCCAUAUCAUUAAACCUUUUUUCUCU